UACGAGGGGGGCGAGCGUUAUUCGGAAUCACUGGGCGUAAAGCGUGCGUAGGCCGCUUUGUAAGUUGGGAGUGAAAGCCCAGGGCUUAACCCUGGAAUUGCUCUCAAAACUACAAGGCUAGAAUUCGGGAGAGGAUAGCGGAAUUGUCAGUGUAGCAGUGAAAUGCGUAGAUAUUGACAGGAACACCAGUGGCGUAAGCGGCUAUCUGGACCGAUAUUGACGCUGAGGCACGAAAGCGUGGGGAUCAAAC
rnacentral:rRNA from 1 species